UACGUAGGGUGCAAGCGUUGUCCGGAAUUAUUGGGCGUAAAGAGCUCGUAGGCGGCUUGUCGCGUCGGCUGUGAAAACCCGGGGCUCAACCCCGGGCCUGCAGUCGAUACGGGCAGACUAGAGUGCGGUAGGGGAGACUGGAAUUCCUGGUGUAGCGGUGAAAUGCGCAGAUAUCAGGAGGAACACCGGUGGCGAAGGCGGGUCUCUGGGCCGAUACUGACGCUGAGGAGCGAAAGCGUGGGGAGCGAACAGG
rnacentral:rRNA from 1 species